UAGAGAUCUGGAGGAAUACCGGUGGCGAAGGCGGCCCCCUGGACAAAGACUGACGCUCAGGUGCGAAAGCGUGGGGAGCAAACAGGAUUAGAUACCCUGGUAGUCCACGCCGUAAACGAUGUCGAUUUGGAGGUUGUGCCCUUGAGGCGUGGCUUCCGGAGCUAACGCGUUAAAUCGACCGCCUGGGGAGUACGGCCGCAAGGUUAAAACUCAAAUGAAUUGACGGGGGCCCGCACAAGCGGUGGAGCAUGUGGUUUAAUUCGAUGCAACGCGAAGAACCUUACCUGGUCUUGACAUCCACAGAACUUUCCAGAGAUGGAUUGGUGCCUUCGGGAACUGUGAGACAGGUGCUGCAUGGCUGUCGUCAGCUCGUGUUGUGAAAUGUUGGGUUAAGUCCCG
rnacentral:rRNA from 1 species